rnacentral:rRNA from 1 species
AGUGGAUGGGGAGCAACCUAGUUGUGCGUGUGUAAAGGUAGUGCCAAGAAAAGCGAUGAUCAUGUUGAAAAUCAAUUCCCGGUACCCGAAACCGACACAGGUGGGCAAGUAGAGAAUACUAAGGGGCGCGAGGUAACUCUCUCCAAGGAACUCGGCAAAAUGACCCCGUAACUUAGGGAGAAGGGGUGCCACCGAGAGGUGGUCGCAGUGAAGAGGCCCAGGCGACUGUUUAGCAAAAACAUAGGUCUCUGCAAACUCGAAAGAGGAGGUAUAGGGGCUGACGCCUGCCCAGUGCCGGAAGGUUAAAGAAGUUGGUCAGUUUUAGGAUGAAGCUAGCGACUGAAGCCCCGGUGAACGGCGGCCGUAACUAUAACGGUCCUAAGGUAGCGAAAUUCCUUGUCGGGUAAGUUCCGACCCGCACGAAAGGCGUAACGAUCUGGGCGCUGUCUCGGAGAGAGGCUCGGCGAAAUAGGAUUGUCUGUGAAGAUACGGACUACCUGCAUUUGGACAGAAAGACCCUAUGAAGCUUUACUAUAGCUUGGAAUUGUGUUCGGGCUUCCUGUGCGCAGGAUAGGUGGGAGGCGUAGAAGGUAUUCUUGUGGGGAUACUGGAGCCAACGGUGAGAUACCACUCUCAGGAGGCUAGAAUUCUAACUUAAUUAAGGACAGUUUCGGGUGGGUAGUUUGACUGGGGCGGUCGCCUCCAAAAAGGUAACGGAGGCGUACAAAGGUUCCCUCAGACUGGUUGGAAAUCAGUCGAAGAGUGCAAAGGCAGAAGGGAGCUUGACUGCGAGAAGUACAGUUCGAGCAGGGUGGAAACACGGUCUUAGUGAUCCGACGGUGCUGUGUGGAAGGGCCGUCGUUCAACGGAUAAAAGUUACUCUAGGAUAACAGGCUGAUCUCCCCCAAGAGUUCACAUCGACGGGGAGGUUUGGCACCUCGAUGUCGGCUCAUCGCAACCUGGGGCGGAAGUACGUCCCAAGGGUUGGGCUGUUCGCCCAUUAAAGCGGUACGUGAGCUGGGUUCAGAACGUCGUGAGACAGUUCGGUCCAUAUCCGAUGUAGGCGUGAGAAUAUUAAGAGGAGCCUUCCUUAGUACGAGAGGACCGGGAAGGACGCACCGCUGGUGUACCUGUUAUGAUGCCAAUUGUAAACGCAGGGUAGCCAAGUGCGGAGAGGAUAACCGCUGAAAGCAUCUAAGUGGGAAGCCCACCUCAAGAUGAGUAUUCUGGUGUAAGGUCACGGGAAGACGACCCGUAAAUAGGCACGAGGUGGAAGUGCAGAGAUGUAUGAAGCCGAAGUGUACUAAUAGACCGUCGGCUUGACC